rnacentral:rRNA from 1 species
UACGUAGGGUGCGAGCGUAAUCGGAAUUCUGGGCGUAAAGCGUGCGCAGGCGGUGAUGUAAGACAGGUGUGAAAUCCCCGGGCUUAACCUGGGAACUGCAUUUGUGACUGCAUCGCUGGAGUGCGGCAGAGGGGGAUGGAAUUCCGCGUGUAGCAGUGAAAUGCGUAGAUAUGCGGAGGAACACCGAUGGCGAAGGCAAUCCCCUGGGCCGAUACUGACGCUGAGGAGCGAAAGCGUGGGGAGCGAACAGG